AAAGGAUUCCUAAGUUGGAAAUUUGGAAGCAAAAUAGAAAAGAGGGUUUAUCCGCAUGGUUGGUCAGAAACCCACAAAAUCCCCGUAUGAAUGCAAAGAAGUACGAACCCCGUAUCAUAUUAGUGUUUCUGAAUUGUGACCUGUGAGAGAGAUGGGAGCGAGCAGCGAUCCGACUCAGGAUGCCUCCGAUGAGCAGCAGAAGCGAUCGGAAAUCUACACCUACGAGGCUCCCUGGCACAUCUACGCCAUGAAUUGGAGCGUUCGCCGCGACAAGAAGUACCGUCUCGCCAUUGCUAGCCUUCUCGAGCAGUACCCUAAUCGUGUCGAGAUCGUCCAACUUGACGACUCCACCGGAGAGAUCCGCUCCGAUCCUAAUCUUUCCUUUGAGCACCACUAUCCUCCCACUAAGACCAUCUUCAUUCCCGACAAGGACUGCCAGAAGCCCGACCUGCUCGCCACCUCUAGCGAUUUUCUCAGGGUUUGGAACAUCUCCGAUGAUCGCGUUGAGCUCAAAUGUCUACUUAAUGGGAAUCGGAAUAGUGAGUUUUGUGGACCGCUCACCUCCUUCGACUGGAACGAGGCGGAGCCCAAGCGGAUCGGGACUUCCAGUAUUGAUACCACUUGUACCAUCUGGGAUAUUGAGAGGGAGACGGUGGAUACCCAGCUUAUCGCUCAUGAUAAGGAGGUUUUUGAUAUUGCUUGGGGUGGCGUCGGAGUUUUCGCCUCUGUUUCUGCUGAUGGCUCGGUUAGGGUUUUUGAUUUGCGCGAUAAGGAGCACUCGACGAUUAUCUAUGAGAGCUCCGAGCCCGACACUCCUCUUGUUCGGCUCGGUUGGAACAAACAGGAUCCUAGGUACAUGGCUACUAUCAUCAUGGACAGCGCCAAGGUUGUGGUGCUCGACAUCCGCUUCCCUACUCUCCCAGUGGUGGAAUUGCAGAGGCAUCAGGCCAGUGUCAAUGCUAUUGCGUGGGCGCCCCAUAGUUCUUGCCAUAUUUGCACUGCUGGCGAUGAUUCACAGGCCCUAAUCUGGGAUUUGUCAUCCAUGGGGCAGCCUGUGGAAGGGGGAUUGGAUCCGAUUCUGGCAUACACUGCGGGGGCAGAAAUCGAGCAGCUGCAGUGGUCCUCCUCCCAGCCCGAUUGGGUCGCAAUUGCCUUCUCGACUAAGCUUCAGAUACUGAGGGUUUGAGCUCCUGGAAAUGCAAUUGAUGGAUCUUCACCCCUUUGGCAGUGGACAAGUGCAGAGGGGCAGAAAACUAGAUUAAUGUCCUAUUUAUGAUUAAAUCAAUUUGCUUCUCUACCCUCUAGAUAGAGGUGCUCUAACAAAUUUUGAAAUAUUCAGAAGAUUCCAUCAAGUGAAGAAGCUCAGGAGGUAAAGAUUGUUGUCCGUGCACCACCACCACCACCGCCAAUAACUGCUGCUUGCUGGCAACUGCUGAUCUAAUCUCACAAGGGUGGAAGACCGUCAAACCUCUUUACAUGUACCAUGCUCACCCAUUAACUUUAUGUUAAUCCUGUGUUAGAUAUGCUUUUGUAAAGUGCCCAUUAUGUUAAGAUGGAAUAUGAUUGCAGGCAUAACUCUUUCUUUCCCUCUUCUUUAAUAUGAAUUAGAUGCAUUAGUCUUUGUAUAA